rnacentral:rRNA from 1 species
AAUUUUGUGCAAGGGGGGGAACCCUGACGCAGCGACGCCGCGUGAGUGAAGACGGCCUUCGGGUUGUAAAGUUCUGUUUAAGGGGAAGAAUGUUUAAUAUCGGAUAAUGGUAUUGAACUGACGGUACCCUUGGAGGAAGCCCCGGCUAACUACGUGCCAGCAGCCGCGGUAAUACGUAGGGGGCAAGCGUUGUCCGGAAUUAUUGGGCGUAAAGGGUGCGUAGGCGGCCUUUUAAGUCAGAUGUGAAAGCCCACGGCUUAACCGUGGGACUGCAUUUGAAACUGGAGGGCUUGAGUAUCGGAGAGGGUAGUGGAAUUCCCAGUGUAGCGGUGGAAUGCGUAGAUAUUGGGAGGAACACCAGUGGCGAAGGCGACUACCUGGACGAAAACUGACGCUGAGACACGAAAGCUAGGGGAGCAAAC